rnacentral:rRNA from 1 species
AAACCGGAGCUAAUACCGGAUAGUUCCUUGAACCGCAUGGUUCAUGGAUGAAAGACGGUUUCGGCUGUCACUUACGGAUGGACCCGCGGCGCAUUAGCUAGUUGGUGAGGUAACGGCUCACCAAGGCAACGAUGCGUAACCGACCUGAGAGGGUGAUCGGCCACACUGGGACUGACACACGGCCCACACUCCUACGGGAGGCAGCAGUAGGGAAUCUUCCGCAAUGGACGAAAGUCUGACGGACCACCGCCGCGUGAGUGAUGAAGGUUUUCGGAUCGUAUAGCUCUGUUGUUAGGAAAGAACAAGUGCAAAAGUAACUGCUUGCACCUUGACGGUACCUAACCAGAAAGCCACGGCUAACUACGUGCCACCAGCCGCGGUAAUACGUAGGUGGCAAGCGUUGUCCGGAAUUAUUGGGCGUAAAGGGCUCGCAGGCGGUUUCUUAAGUCUGAUGUGAAACCCCCCGGCUCAACCGGGGAGGGUCAUUGGAGACUGGGAUACUUGAGUGCAAAAAAAGAGAGUGUAAUUCCACGUGUAGCGGUGAAAUGCAUAUAGAUGUGAAGGAACACCAGUGGCGAAAGCCACU